rnacentral:tRNA from 1 species
UCAGUCUCGGCGAGUACCAGAAAUCGUCUGCGGCGUUGACGACGCUGCUGGACAAGUACAACUCCUCUUCGAUCGCGCCGAAGGGGUUGUAC